UCCUCCGGGGAAGGGGCGGUGUAGGCGGCGGCUGCGGCCGGAGCCGCCGAAGGGGCGGGGGUUUCCAGCGGAAACCAAACUGGGGCACGAACCGUUCGCAUGGCAGCUGCUCCUGACAUAGACAAAGCAACCGGGCUGGGGCCAGCAGGAGCGGCUAUGGGGGAAGUGGCCGGGGAUGGGGCGGCCAUGGCUGGCACAGGCGGUAUCUCCAAUGGGGACCGCAGGGCUUCCGUGGACCACGUAGCUGGGACCGAGGGAGGGCAGUCCCACGGCAUGUCCAGCUGAGCAGUCGUGGACCACGCAGCUGGGGCCAGGACCGGGGCAGGAGGCGCGGGCAGCAGCGGAACAGCCGUGAACGGCGGGGCAGACGCCGACAAGGAUGCACUGUCUCCUAUGGAAAUGAUCUUCGGCCAUUCCAGAGGCAUCCUGGAGUCAGCAAGGACAAGGCAAACACAAGGGCAUAGGGAGCAGCAAAGUCGAGAUGGAAAGAUGGGUUUGGAAGAAAGUGAAGUUCUGAAAGGUGUUACUUGUAACAACCUCAGUCACCAAGCAGGAGGAAGGAGCAAAGAGAGGAAAAAAAAUGAAAAGACUGAGAUCUGACUGCACAGAGCAGGACAGAGAAAGGUGUCCAGAGACAUCAGGAAACACAUGGAGAGAAGAGGAUUCUCAAUAGGAAAUGGCAGAUCCUUUACACUUCAAGGACAAUGUGGAGAAUGAACAGGAGAUUUUUUUCCACCUCUACAAUCAAAUUUCACACUUGUCCCAUUAUAAUCCAGGGAUAACAAUGAAAACUUCAGGGAAAUAAGGACUGAUGGCACAAUUCUGUCCUUACGGACACCAUGGGCCUUCAGAGCUUCACCUCCCAUCUGUGGUGGUUUUCCAGCAGAAACUCAACCACAUAGAACUUGGGGACUUCACAAAGUCUAAAUACACUUUUAUUGGUGUAAGAGAAAUGAAAGGGAACAGCCAACAGGGCAAGAACUUGAAGGUGUUUGUUGGGAAAGGUAAAAGUUUAACAGGAAAGUUUCACAGAUAUAUAGGUUUAGCAGAAGGCUCUUUGAAUGUGAAACUUAAGAAUAGAAUAGAAAUUAAAGCAAGUUUUGAUACAGAAGAAUAAAGGAUGUCUAAAGCAAGAAUUGCUGAGAGUUGUUACAGGACAACUAAGAAAGCAAAGGUUAAGUCGAGUUUGAAAGAGGUUUUAUGGCUGGAGCAAAGGAUAUGUUGACCACAAACAAAGAUGUUUUGACCAAGCAGAAAUAGGUCUUAGAAAAGCAAAAGAUACUAUAAGCAAACAAAAACCAUGUUUUUACCAAGUAGAAACAAAGUCUAAGAAUUUUCCACUGCAAGAAAACAGAAAAACAACUUUAAGCUUAAACUGUAACACAAUAUGGUAAUAUUAGUAGUUAGGCUAUAGGUAAAUGUAAAGGUAUUACGUAUGAUGCUGAUUGGUUUCUAUGUAUUAAGAUGCUCGGCAAAGAAAACUAUAUAAUGCAUCGUACCCAGAAUCAAUGUGACUUCAGGCAUGCCCAUAUGCUGUAGCUGGCAGCAUUAGGCUGACUCUGUAUCACCCAUGACCCAGGACUGCUGUAACAUCAUCUGUGGGUACUGACAGUGGUCGGAUUUUAGGCUUCAGGCACUGCUAGAGUCUGUGUGAAAGACAAGCGAGCAACUUUUUCAUUCUGGCCUGGGAAAAUCUUAAGGAGGAACCAAAACAAUCCUUGGGAAGUGGAAAACCAUCAGUAGGUGGUGUUUUUUCAACAUGUUUACUGGCAAAGUUGUUUACAGGAGGUGUGGGCUCUGAAUGACCAAUCAUAUUCAUUGUACUGAAGUACUGUAUAAAAGGAAGAUUCAGAAGAAUAAAGAUUGCUCUCAUUUUUGCAUCACA